rnacentral:tRNA from 5 species
GCUAUAGCUCAGUUGGUAGAGCCCCGGAUUGUGAUUCCGGUUGUCGAGGGUUCAAGUCCCUUUAGC